AGGAGGAACAACCUCAGUGGCUUCCGCAGCCCUGGAAACCUGGAUUCAGCUCCGGCAGGAACUCCGUCUGCAGGGCCUGGAGGCUCCGGGCGGAG
rnacentral:pre_miRNA from 1 species